AGUGAACGCUGGCGGUAGGCCUAACACAUGCAAGUCGAACGGCAGCACAGUAAGAGCUUGCUCUUACGGUUGGCGAGUGGCGGACGGGUGAGGAAUACAUCGGAAUCUACUUUUUCGUGGGGGAUAACGUAGGGAAACUUACGCUAAUACCGCAUACGUCCUACGGGUGAAAGCAGGGGAUCUUCGGACCUUGCGCGAUUGAAUGAGCCGAUGUCGGAUUAGCUAGUUGGCGGGGUAAAGGCCCACCAAGGCAACGAUCCGUAGCUGGUCUGAGAGGAUGAUCAGCCACACUGGAACUGAGACACGGUCCAGACUCCUACGGGAGGCAGCAGUGGGGAAUAUUGGACAAUGGGCGAAAGCCUGAUCCAGCCAUACCGCGUGAGUGAAGAAGGCCUUCGGGUUGUAAAGCCCUUUUGUUGGGAAAGAAAAGCAGCAGGUUAAUCCCCCGCUGUUCUGACGGUACCCAAAGAAUAAGCACCGGCUAACUUCGUG
rnacentral:rRNA from 1 species